rnacentral:snRNA from 1 species
AAAUGUGAGGGCGAUCUGGCUGUGACAUCUGUCACCCCGUUAAUCACCAGCAUCCAUUUGGCUGAUCUCGCUGGAUAGGCAGGUGCUCCCUUCCUCUCUCGCCGUGCCACGUGCGUCCCUCGUGAUACUGCAUGCUCUGGUGGAAGAGGACGAUCACUCUGAUACAGGAGGACAGUUUCUUUGGUCAAGGGUAUAUAAGUAGUUUCACUCCCUUGCUAGAACCUUUAAAUAAUGUAUUAUAUAUCCACAUGUGCUGUGAUCUAUAAACUUAAAAUUAUUUAUGCAGAUCUGACGAUAUACAAUGUGUUUGAGAGUACAUUGUU